rnacentral:rRNA from 1 species
CAGUCGCCACGGGAAUACGUAGGUGGCAAGCGUUGUCCGGAAUUAUUGGGCGUAAAGGGCUCGCAGGCGGUUUCUUAAGUCUGAUGUGAAAGCCCCCGGCUCAACCGGGGAGGGUCAUUGGAAACUGGGAAACUUGAGUGCAGAAGAGGAGAGUGGAAUUCCACGUGUAGCGGUGAAAUGCGUAGAGAUGUGGAGGAACACCAGUGGCGAAGGCGACUCUCUGGUCUGUAACUGACGCUGAGGAGCGAAAGCGUAGGGAGCGAAUAGGAUUAGAUACCCGCGUAGUCCCUGUCUCUUAUAC